GUUGUGGUCUCAAAAUAUGCAAGACCUUGGGGUCUGCGAAGACACUGUUUCUCAUGAUGAUUUUAACAUGCCUGAUCUCGACAUAACAUUUCGUAACUUUGAGGAACUGUUUGGAACUGAGAAAGACCCAGAUCCAAUCAGGGCACUGCUUGAUGAUAAAGGUGCAUCAAGCUCCUCUGUGGAGGACAUGUCCCUUGGUACAUCACAUAACAGAAAUGCAAGAACAAAGGAG
rnacentral:misc_RNA from 1 species